GCUUACGGCCAUACCAACCUGGCGAUGCCUGAUCUCGUCUGAUCUCAGAAGCUAAGCAGGUUUGGGCCUGGUUAGUACUUGGAUGGGAGACCGCCUGGGAAUACCAGGUGCUGUAAACU
ensembl:rRNA 5S_rRNA 5S ribosomal RNA